GACGUAGGGCGCAAGCGUUGUCCGGAUUUAUUGGGCGUAAAGAGCGUGUAGGCGGCCAGAUAGGUCCGUUGUGAAAACUGGAGGCUUAACCUCCAGCUGUCGAUGGAAACCAUCUGGCUAGAGUCCGGAAGAGGAGAGUGGAAUUCCUGGUGUAGCGGUGAAAUGCGCAGAUAUCAGGAAGAACACCCGUGGCGAAGGCGGCUCUCUGGGACGGUACUGACGCUGAGACGCGAAAGCGUGGGGAGCAAACAGG
rnacentral:rRNA from 1 species